rnacentral:rRNA from 1 species
GACGGGGGAUGCGAGCGUUAUCCGGAUUCACUGGGUUUAAAGGGUGCGUAGGUGGGCAGGUAAGUCAGUGGUGAAAUCUCCGGGCUUAACCCGGAAACUGCCGUUGAUACUAUUUGUCUUGAAUAUAGUGGAGGUGAGCGGAAUAUGUCAUGUAGCGGUGAAAUGCUUAGAUAUGACAUAGAACAUCGAUUGCGAAGGCAGCUCGCUACACUAUUAUUGACACUGAGGCACGAAAGCGUGGGGAUCAAACAGG